rnacentral:rRNA from 1 species
UACGUAGGUGACAAGCGUUGUCCGGAUUUACUGGGCGUAAAGAGCGCGCAGGCGGUCGGUCAAGUCGAGUGUGAAAGCCCCCGGCUCAACUGGGGAGGGUCAUUCGAUACUGAUCGACUCGAAGGCAGGAGAGGGUAGUGGAAUUCCCGGUGUAGUGGUGAAAUGCGUAGAUAUCGGGAGGAACACCAGUGGCGAAGGCGACAUCCUGGACCGGUAUUGACGCUGAGGCGCGAAAGCCAGGGGAGCAAACGGG